UAAAUUGUAGAGAACGAGUAGACUACUAGUAAACUAGGAAAAGAAAGUUUUUCUUGUAGAAAACUAGGAAAAGACAAAGAAGUCUAUUGACAACAGGGAAUAGGUUGGAGAUGAGGACCUGACCCAAGAUGGACAAAUUAGAACCCUUCCUUGGGAUUUUUGAAGGUAAUUGGUAUCCCUCUCACCUACAUUGUAAGCAGGUGUCUGGAGUCGGUAAUAACCAGAUCCUCUGUCAUGUGUAUCAAGCCAAUCUGCCAAGAAAAAAAAAAUCCACUAAUCCACAGAGCGAAGCACAGAUGAGGAUGGACAACGAACACCCUGCCUGCGGUCCACAUAUUCCUGAGGGCCAGGCAACUGUACAGGGAUUCUUACCAUCUUGUUGGUGCCCAUGUAGAUGUGCUUAGGAUAGGAAGCCCAGUGGGCAUGCGCCCCAGUCUCUGGGAGCCAAUGUGCUAAUUCCUUUGAAGGAGGAAGACUUCAUCACCAGCAGAAUGGGCUGCACUGCUUUUGUUGUGUGGAUCAGCACGAUGGAUGGGGAGGAGACCUGAAGAUGCUUCAAUGGCAAAUUUGCUCUACAUGGAGAUGCUGGAUGUCCCUAGACAUAAAGACCCCACAAAGAUGCUAGAGGGGCAUGGCUGGACAGCGGUGGGUGAGGGAGGAGCUGCAGGUGAGAAAGGAGUCAAGGUGUAGAAUUUGUAUCAAAUUAUUCUUCAAAGCUUCUCAGGUAGGAUUUGGACAUUUGGGUGCAUUUCUAGAUGCUUCAGCCAGUUGAAGAAAACUGGGGAAAAAAGGUGUCCACAUGAUGCAGGUGCAUUUGGGUUCUGUCUGUCAGCUUGAUGCUCCCAUGCAUUGGUCUUCUAUUCUCAGUCCAAACAACUUUCAGCCCGAGUAGCACCCUAGCAAUUAAUUGUCCAAAUUCUACCUCAUUGCCUUUCUACCUAGCCACAGAUUUCCUCUCCUCUCAGCUCAAAUGUUUCUUCAAACCAGUAGGUGUGGAGGGAGAGAGGUGGAGGAAGAUUAUGUGCCAUCUUUUUGGCCCAUGUUGAAGAUUUUCCAGGGUACAGGGUAGUGCCGUGAUCUCUAGAUGUGCAUUAAGGACUUUGGCUUUCAGAUCCAUUGUGCAGUAACUUUCUGUGCAACCUCUUGUCAUCAUUUCUCUUCUUCAUGCUUUAAUUUACUUUUCUGUAAAACAAGAGCUGGAGCUGGAACAGAGUUUCAAAUUUUUUUUUUUUUUUGAGACAGAGUCUUGCUCUUUUGCCAGGCUGGAGUACAGUGGCACAAUCUCAGCUCCCUGCAACUUCUGCCUCCUGGAUUCAAGUGAUUCUCCUGCCUCAGCCUCCCGAGUAGCUGGGACUACAGGCACAUGCCACCACACCCGGCUAAUUUUUUGUAUUUUUAGUAGGGACAGGGUUUCGCCAUGUUGGUCAGGCUGGUCUCGAACUCCUGACCUCAGGCGAUCUGCCCACCUUGGCCUCCUAAAGUGCAGGGAUUACAGGUGUGAGCCACUGUGCCUAGCCUCAAAUGCUUCUUCUUGAGCCUUGAGCCAAGUGACCUCUGGGGUCUUGAGCAAGGUGGUCAACAAUGUAGAUGCUAAGAGGCCAGAUUUCCCAGCCGCUCUGGCCUGCUUUCUUCAGAGCAGUUAUCUAUUAGACAGAUUGGGGUCCAUUAAAACCCCAAAGUAUUUCCACUGCUAAAAAACAAGCCUAGAAUCCAAUGGACUAUCAGUCUUUCUCAAGGUGUGGCACAGGUCCCACUAGGGAGAUACAAGCUUAUAUGUGAUACAUGGAUGAACAUUUUAAGUUUUCAUAGUUAUAUUUAUUUUAAAGUCUAUUAGGAAAAAAAUAUAAUCAUCACAUCAAAUAUGUGAUUUCAUUGAUAUUAUUGAUUAAGAUGAGGCUACAUUUAAUUGAAUAAGUGAGCUUACUUGAAGGAAGAGAAUAAGUAAGUAAUAGUACAGGUGGUAUAGGAUUAUGGCCAACAUGAUUGACAUUUGGGAAAAUGGGCAAAGUGACCUCCACAGGCACUCCUGGCUCUGACAUUCUAGCAUUCCUCCUCCUCCCCAUCUUUUCUCUUGUUUCCUCUCUGUGGUCAUGUCCUCCUCAGCAGAGAGGGCAUUACAAUGUGUACUUUCAGAUUCAAAACAGUGGCCUUGACAUGCAUGAGGUCUGCGCUCGGUGUGUCCCCUUGGCCCUCCCUACAAGAGCUUUACUUUGGUCAGGGGGAAGCUCUGUUUUCCCACCUUCAGUUUCUGAUGAGGCACAUGAAACCCACAGGAAGCAAACCAAAGUGAAAGCAAGAAAAACAAGGCUCGGCAGAGAGCGGCUAUCUGCACUUCACUUGGAAUUAGAGAAGAUGCUUUUGGCUCCAUUAGCAGAAUCCCUAAUGUGCUUGUAUUUGAAAAGCCAGUCUGCAGAAUUAGCAGCCAGUGAAUUGUUAGUCUUGCAGGCUGUUGAUUCUGUCUUGCUCUUUUUUAACCAUCAGAACUCACUUAUUUUUAUUUACUUUUUGGCAUGAAAUAAUUUCCUAUAUCCUCUUUUUAACUCACUUCUAAUAGGAUAACACAUCUAUUUUUCUCAUUCUGAAUUCUGGAUGAUUUUAUUGUUGAGGGAAGACAGUAGAUAUUGCAUAUCUACUUUCUUUUUUCUGUUUUGUGUGUGUGUGUGUGUGUGUGUGUUUACAGUUUUAUUUAAACACAAAACAUGCACAUGAGCUGCUUACUCAUUUUCUUCACUGCACAGCCUGGCAUUGGGGUUGGUGACUCUGAUGGCCAGCUGGGUGGCCCUUUCCAUGAUGGCUUUGCGGUUCAAUUAAAUGUAGCCUCAUCUUAAUCAAUAAUAUCAAUGAAAUCACAUAUUUGAUGUGAUGGUUAUAUAUUUUUUCCUAAUAGACUUUAAAAUAAAUAUAACUAUGAAAACUUAAAAUGUUCAUGCAUGUAUCACAUAUAAGCUCGUAUCUCCCUAGUGGGACCUGCAUCACACCUUGGGAAAGACUGAUAGUUCAUUGGAUUCUAGGCUUGUUUUUUAUCAGUGGAAAUACUUUAGAAUUUUAAUGGACCCGAAUCUGUCCAAUAGAUAACUGCUCCAAAGAAAGCUGGCCAGGGUGGUUGGAGGAAACAUUGUGAGCAAUCUCAGCACAGUAAGAUUUGUUGCACAUCAGCAGCACUUCCUGCUCCUUGACCUUGUGGACCAGGAACUUCUGGAAGCCACUGGGCAGCAUAUACUUUGUUUUUUUGUUGCUCCCAUAGGCAAUGUUGGGCAUCAAGAUCUAGAGCUUGAACCUUCUAUGAACCCUGUUGUCAAUACCUCUGGGUUUCUGCCAGUCACGCUUAAUUUUGAUAUAUCAGUCUGACCGGUGCCCGAUGAAUUUCUUGGUUGUCUUUUUGACUAUUUUGGGCUUCACAAGGGGUAUGAAGGUGGCCAUGAUGCUGAGGAGGAGAUGGCUGCCGCCUCCAUAGGCAGUGCCAAGGAAGAGAGAACAUAUCUACUUUCUUAAUGUUGGACUUGCACUGGGUGUCCACAGUUGAUGAAGUGUGGCAUGCCAUGGUGGACAGACCUUGGGCAUCUGGGGCAGGCAAACCUGGAUUUAAACUUGGCUUAACCGUCUGUCAUCUGUGGACAGGCAUUUCUUAUUUAAAUAAGCUUGAUUUUUUUAUUUCUUAACAAGAAUUAUGCUUUUCUUCCCCCCACAGAAUUUUUUUUUUUUUUU